UACGUAGGGAGCAAGCGUUGUCCGGAAUCAUUGGGCGUAAAGCGCGCGUAGGCGGCUCGAUCAGUCUGUUGUGAAAGUCAAAGGCUCAACCUUUGAAUGCCGAUGGAUACUGUCGAGCUAGAGUCCGGAAGAGGCGAGUGGAAUUCCUGGUGUAGCGGUGGAAUGCGCAGAUAUCAGGAGGAACACCAACGGCGAAGGCAGCUCGCUGGGACGGUACUGACGCUAAGGCGCGAAAGCGUGGGGAGCGAACAGG
rnacentral:rRNA from 1 species